rnacentral:rRNA from 1 species
AAAGCGAAUGAUUAGCGUAUUUGGGGACAUUUUGUCUUCAGACGAUUCUCAAACUUUCAAUGCGCAAGGGUGUUGCUGCUUAAUUGAGCUUCACCGGKAAAAACGUCGGCCCUGUGGGCCACUUUUGGUAAGCAGAACUGGCGAUACGGGAUGAACCGUAAGCAUGGUUAAGGCGCCAAACUACUCGCUUAUAGAUCCCACAAAAGGUGUUGAUUCAUCGAGACAGCAGGACGGUGGCCAUGGAAGUCGGAAUCCGCCAAGGAGUGUGUAACAACUCACCUGCCGAAUGAAUUAGCCCUGAAAAUGGAUGGCGCUUAAGCGGGUGGCCGACACCAUGCCGUCUGAAUGAUAAAUUUCAGAUGAGUAGGAGGACGUGGUGAUCGUGACGAAGUAUGCGUGCGAACGCGUAUCGAACGAUCACUAGUGCAGAUCUUGGUGGUAGUAGCAAAUAUUCAAGCGAGAUCCUUGAAGGGCGAAGUGGGGAAGGGUUCCACGCUAACAUUGAUUGGGCGUGGGUGAGUCGUUCCUAAGCCGAGUGGCAAUUGCUAAGUAACGGCGAAAGGGAAGCGGGUUUACAUUCCCGCACACGGAUGUGGAGGCGGUGACGCUUUAUUGGGGCGAACACGCUGGCGAUGGCGCUGGGCAGAGUUGUCUUUUCUGUUUGACCGUUUGCGCAUGCGGUGUGGAGUCCGCUUGUCGGGAGAAACACGCAUGCGCGGGCAGAGCGCCGGGGCUUAUCCGGCGUCCAGCUCGCCAUCGACGGCCCUUGAAACUUUGCCUGCUGAUUUUAGAAUCCACGCCGUGGCGUACCGAUCACCGCAUCAGGUCCCCAAGGUGAACAGCCUCUGCUCAAUAUGAAAAAUGCAGGUAAGGGAAGUCGGCAAAUUAGACCCGUAACUUUGGGAAAAGGGUUGGCUCUAGUGCUGCGUGGGAGUGGUUGUCAAGUUGUGGCGCUCUUGAAGGUGCUGAUUUGCGCGAUACUUCGGUGUUGUUCAACCGGCGCCAUUAAUUGUGCUGCUCUUGACGACGCCCACAGCAGUCAGC